rnacentral:lncRNA from 1 species
CUCCCUCUCUCUCUCUCUCUCUCUCUCUCCAAACAAACAGUCCUUCAACCCCCUCAACACUCCUCUCUCUCUCUUCCAACAAGCAUCCUUCAACCCCCUCAAUACUCCCUCUCUCUCUCUCUCUCUCUCUUCCAACAAGCAGUCCUUCAACCCCCCUCAAUACUCCUCUCUCUCUCUCUUCCAACAAGCAGUCCUUCAACCCCCUCAAUACCCCCUCUCUCUCUCUCUCUCUCUCUCUUCCAACAAGCAGUCCUUCAACCCCCUCAAUACACUCUUUUCUCUCUCUCUCUCUCUCUCUUCCAACAAGCAGUCCUUCAACCCCCUCAAUACUCCCCUC